UUUUAGAGCCCAUAGAGAUAUUGCAGGUUUGGCUGCUGUGUCACAUGUGCGUCAGUAGGUGGCAGAGGGGAGAGAGGCUAUGUUUAUGCUCAGUGUUCAGAUCUAGGAACUUCUGAAUGUUUCUUAGCCUAACACU
ensembl:snoRNA Gm26436 predicted gene, 26436